rnacentral:rRNA from 1 species
AACGAACGCUGGCGGCAUGCCUAACACAUGCAAGUCGAGCGACACCUUCGUGUCUGCUUGCGCAUGGGGGCGUAACGCGGGGGAACCUGCACGUAGGUUCGGAAUAACUCCCCGAAGGGGGGGCUAAUACCGGAUAAUUUCUUCUGACCAAAGAUUUAUCGUCUUUGGGUGGGCCCGCGUUGGAUUAGCUAGGUGGUAGGGUAAAAGCCUACCAAGGCUACGAUCGAUAGCGGGUCUGAGAGCAUGAUCCGCCACACUGGGACUGAGACACGGCCCGGACUCCUACGGGAGGCAGCCGUGGGGAAUCUUGGACAAUGGGCGAGAGCAUGAACCCGCACUGCCGGGAGAGUGAUGAAGGCGUUAGGGUUGUGCAGCUCUUUUACACGGGAUGAUAAUGACAGUACCGGGAGAAUAAGCUCCGGCUAACUCCGUG